GCCAUGCAUGUCUAAGUUCAUACCUAGUAAAAGUGAGACUGCGAAAGGCUCAGUAUAUCAGUUAUAGUUUAUUCGAUUGUGAACUCCACAUGGAUAACCGUGGAAAAUCUAGAGCUAAUACAUGCGAAAAAUGGUAAUUUGAGCAAUUGAAUUAUUAUGCAUUUAUUAGAUUAGAACCAAUCAGAUGGCGUAAGUUGUCUGUAGUGGUGAGUCUGAAUAACUUUGCCGAUCGUAUGGCCUAGAGCCGGCGACGUUUCGAUUAAAUUUCUGCCCUAUCAAUUUGUUGGUAAGGUAGUGGCUUACCAAGAUUAUUACGGGUAACGGGGAAUCAGGGUUCGAUUCCGGAGAGGGAGCCUGAGAAACGGCUACCACAUCCAAGGAAGGCAGCAGGCGCGCAAAUUAUCCAAUCCAAACACUGGGAGAUGGUAACGAGAAAUACCAGGUUGUUUUCAAAUGAAUUCAACACUGGAAUGAAUGUAACUUAAAAAAUUCAAUGAGUAGCAACUGGAGGGCAAGUCUGGUGCCAGCAGCCGCGGUAAUUCCAGCUCCAGUAGUGUAUUCUAAAGUUGCUGCGGUUAAAACGCUCGUAGUUGGACAAUAUAGUAACUUAGUGCAGGCGGGAAAGGUUAUACCUUUUAAUUUGGUCAGAAAUAUGAGCAUUGCGAGUAUUUGUGGCUGGUUAAUUGGUUACUUUGUCGACCGUGUAGCUAAGUUGCUUAGAAUAUUUUGUGAGAAUAAUAUAUGGUCUUUAUUGUAUCGUAUAUUGUAUCUUGCAUAGCGUGCCUUGAAUAAAUCAGAGUGCUCAAAGCAAGCUUACGCUUGAAUGUUAAUAGCAUGGAACGAAUGUUUUGUGAAAGUAUGUGCAGUUUACUUCGGUAAGUUGUAUGUACAGCACCAACCGCGAAGCAGAACAUUGGUAGCUGUCUUCGGGUGAUGAUUAAGAGGGGCAUUUGGGGGCAUUAGUAUUUGAACGCGAGAGGUGAAAUUCUUGGACCGUUCAAGGACUAACAAGUGCGAAAGCAUUUGCCAAGGAUGUUCCCAUUAAUCAAGAACGAAAGUGAGAGGAUCGAAGACGAUCAGAUACCGUCCUAGUUCUCACCGUAAACUAUGCCAACCCGGGAUCAGCUCGGAUGAACUUUUUUGGAUCCAGGUUGGUCCCCCUGGGAAACCUUGAGUUUUUAGGUUCCGGGGGGAGUAUGGUUGCAAGGCUGAAACUUAAAGGAAUUGACGGAAGGGCACCACCAGGGGUGGAGCCUGCGGCUUAAUUUGACUCAACACGGGAAAACUCACCUGGUCCGGACAUCGAUAGGAUUGACAGACUAAUAGAUCUUUCAUGAUACG
rnacentral:rRNA from 1 species